GAUGAAGAACGCAGCGAAAUGCGAUACGUAAUGUGAAUUGCAGAAUUCAGUGAAUCAUCGAGUCUUUGAACGCACAUUGCGCCCCCUGGUAUUCCGGGGGGCAUGCCUGUCCGAGCGUCAUUGCUGCCCUCAAGCACGGCUUGUGUGUUGGGCCUCCGCCCCCCGGCUCCCGGGGGGCGGGCCCGAAAGGCAGCGGCGGCACCGCGUCCGGUCCUCGAGCGUAUGGGGCUUCGUCACCCGCUCUGUAGGCCCGGCCGGCGCCAGCCGACAACCCAUCAUCCUUUUCAGGUUGACCUCGGAUCAGGUAGGGAUACCCGCUGAACUUAAGCAUAUCAAUAAGCGGAGGA
rnacentral:misc_RNA from 1 species